rnacentral:lncRNA from 1 species
UUUACCAGUUGCUGGCUAAUGUCCUAGCUUGGGAAGAGCAAUAAUCUCAUUAAUGAAUUAUCUCUUACUUACAAGACAAACUGGACUCAUUUGUUUCCUUAAAAAGACGGUGUCAUUGAUUAAAGAUGGUCAUUAAUGACCACUGCUAACUCUUUGCUAAAUUAUAUGCAGAACCUACUGCCAGUGAUCAUGCUAUUGAGGAUACAAUUCACAAGCAUGUUGAUAUCCAAGAUAAUGAGUCUGACUAUAACAAAGCACUUAACUGAAGCUCCACAGCCAAAAUGGAAUCUAUCAUGCCAAUUCAGGAACCUAAAACCAAAGUCGAAUGCUAAUUUUUACAAAAAGGCAUCAAAGUUUUCAUUUUCUAAAAGUCGACUGAACUGGGUUGGAUUGAAACCCAAGCCUAUGCAUUAUUAAAAUAAUUGAAUUGGGCUAUCAAAAAAAAUCAGACUGAAGUUGAAUCAGACUUCCAUAUGUUCUUGAUUAUAGAUAACAUGUUCCUCCUUUAUAAGUUAAAUUGGGGUUUUUGAGAGGGAAUGGCAGUUGUGCUAUCAGACAAUGAAAUGGUGAAUGGCCGAGGAAACAUUUGCAAAUGACAUGGCUUCAGAACUCCCACCGGCUGUGCUAUGUUUUCCGGGUGAGCCUGAUUGCUUUUGGCUCUACCCAGUGCAGUGUUUUCCAUCAAAUCAGUCUUUCCUCUGCGAGGGUAUUUAUUACGUGCCAUUUUGAAAAUAAAAUAAAAGGGAUGUGGAGCAAUCAUCCAGCAAAACCAUAGAACAUUUUAUUAUCCUAGACGGUGAGGGGUCAGGUUUGACAUACAACGCUGGGAGCGGCGAUGGCCGAACAAUGUGCUACUAAAGCGUGAUUUAAUGAGGCUUGGAGGAUUUAGUUCAGUCAGAAAAGUUCCACUCUGUCUUGGGCAGAGGAGAAGCUGAGCUGGUCAGGGAGACUUGAGUGCUGGAAACCUCUGACUGAUUUAGUGGACCCCAAACAUGGCGCAGCUUCCCUGUUGCUUCUGUUUUACAAGGCCAGCAGUUAAUUCAACAAAAGCCUGAAUUCAUUUCCCUCUAUAUGCAUUGACUGUCAGCUAAGAGCUGGC